UAUGGAAAGGGUUAGUAUUACCCUUUCCAUACAAAUGUAGCAUGUAGCA
rnacentral:ncRNA from 1 species